AAGGUCAUUUACUCACAUGGAACAGGUGGCCACUGCCGCGCCUAUUAUUUGUGAAUUACAAAAAUUCCACUCUCCGCAUAUAAUAUAUAUAUAUGUGUGUGUGUAUAUAUAUGUCAUCGCUGCUUCAUCCAAACUGCCUUCUUUUCUUCUUCCCCACCCUUUCAUCCACAUUUCAAUAUGAAGAAAUCGGGUUCCAUCGCCGCCUCCGUCGUCGCCGCCGCCGCCGCCGAGUCUGCCUCCCCCAGUUCCUCCACCAUUUUCUGCAACCUAAAAGUUCAGCUCCCUCGGCAGGAGGGGAAGGAAGGAGAGAAUCCGUCGUCCUCGGCGGAUAAAUUUGCUCCCAAAUUUGAUGGAUUGAAAUUUAUUAAGACUCUGGUUACGGCUCACAGAUAAACUGCCCCGGGGAAGGCGUCGGCGAUGGCCGGACUAAACUUCGUAUACUGCCUUAUUUUGUUUGUUAUUUUUGUCGUCGAAACUCUCACAUUUUGCACAUUCAAGAUAGCAAAUUGAAUAAUAAUUUUAGUUUAAAGUACAGUUUUUCCUCGUCGAGAAUCAUUCACCGCUC